CUUUAGAAAGAAAACAGACUGACUUCUGUUUUUUUUUUCUCUCCUCCCUGGGAGUGGAAUGUGGGUAUUAUGGUGAUGAGGUUGAAGUUCCUGGCAUCAUAGCUCAAGGAAACUCCUACAGAACUGCCAGAAGUUCUACUGGCUUCUCCAUACCCUAGCAGCAAUGACUCUUCCCUGGGAACCAGCCUGGAUUUUCAGCUUCUGCAAGUGCUGACGUCCCCAUAUUGGUACUUGCUCCUUUGUAAAAAGUGGUAAGAUAUUGCCAGGGUCAUCUCAUCAGUCCCUCAAGGGCUCUUAACUCUUUUCUUUUCUGGUCUUUUGCUCCUAAGCACUGGGGGACUGCAGGAAAUCCCUCUCUACUUUUCUGAGUUUAGUAUUUCACCCUCCUGCUCUGCAUCUUUGGAAUGUCAGUGUUUCAAGGGAGAAAGGGGCCAUGUGCCUGGGGCCAUUCACUUCUCCACUUUUACCACUCUAUCCUGUACCACCAAAAGGUCCCACUGGUUUCUCUGUCCCCAGCACUGACGCCCCCCCGCCUGUGCCUUACCCUGAUUCUUGGCCUCAUGUCAAUGUCCAGGAUCAGCAUGUGUCUCCAGACAGAGGCCAAUCUGCAACUCACCUCUUAGAGUUCCUUCUCUGAAAUGUUAUCCCCUUUAGUCCUUGUGGCUUCUGCAGCUCUCUUAUGCCUAAAUGUCUAAUUUUAAAAUUUGUCUGGCUUUUCUUUUUGUUUUCAAUAGUAUAUUGGCCUCCAGACUACUUGCAAAUGGAAGUCGUUAGUCUCAUUUCCUGGAAAGGCCCCAGACUCUCACUUCAGAGUCUUUUUUUUUUGUCAUUCUAGGGUGGCAUCUGUGGCAUGUGGAAAUUCCAGGGCUG